rnacentral:rRNA from 1 species
UACGGGGGGGGCAAGCGUUGUUCGGAAUUACUGGGCGUAAAGGGCUUGUAGGUGGCCAACUAAGUCAGACGUGAAAUCCCACGGCUUAACCGAGGAACUGCGUCUGAUACUGGAUGGCUUGAGUGUGGGAGAGGGAUGCGGAAUUCCAGGUGUAGCGGUGAAAUGCGCAGAUAUCAGGAGGAACACCGGUGGCGAAGGCGGGUCUCUGGGCCGAUACUGACGCUGAGGAGCGAAAGCGUGGGGAGCGAACAGG